rnacentral:ncRNA from 1 species
UAUAAUCUUAUGUAAGGAAGAGUAUGCUUGGGAGUAAGUUUACAGAGAGUUCUUGUUUGGUGAAAAAGAACAACGGAAAGCAAGUUGAAGAUGGUCUUUACCUGAGUCGGAUUGAGGGCGAUGCAUUAGAUUCGAACGGGAGUGCCCGUUACAGCACCAAGGUAUGAUAGUACCUGUUGAGGUCAUUAUUGUGAGAUGAUGAUAAAAAAAGGUGGUAACGCGGGAUAUUGCUCUCGUCCUUUUA